AACGAACGCUGGCGGCAGGCCUAACACAUGCAAGUCGAACGGUAGCACAGAGGAGCUUGCUCCUUGGGUGACGAGUGGCGGACGGGUGAGUAAUGUCUGGGAAACUGCCCGAUGGAGGGGGAUAACUACUGGAAACGGUAGCUAAUACCGCAUAACGUCGCAAGACCAAAGAGGGGGACCUUCGGGCCUCUUGCCAUCGGAUGUGCCCAGAUGGGAUUAGCUAGUAGGUGGGGUAACGGCUCACCUAGGCGACGAUCCCUAGCUGGUCUGAGAGGAUGACCAGCAACACUGGAACUGAGACACGGUCCAGACUCCUACGGGAGGCAGCAGUGGGGAAUAUUGCACAAUGGGCGCAAGCCUGAUGCAGCCAUGCCGCGUGUAUGAAGAAGGCCUUCGGGUUGUAAAGUACUUUCAGCGAGGAGGAAGGUGUUGUGGUUAAUAACCGCAGCAAUUGACGUUACUCGCAGAAGAAGCACCGGCUAACUCCGUGCCAGCCGCCGCAGUAACAC
rnacentral:rRNA from 1 species